rnacentral:lncRNA from 1 species
UUCAUAGCAGUCCAACAGCUCGUUUCGAAGGAUUCAGUUAUUCUGGAACCAAUGGCAUUGACGGAUUUCAGAUCUGAUGCACGGUUUUCGAGAAAAAGGGAUUUUAUCGAAAUGGGGGUUUUCGCUCUUUGCUAUUCGUGCAGUUUAAAGCUCCUCGUACUCUGUGCAUGUGACCUAGAGUUGAGUGGAGGACGCUUCUAGUACCUACUGGUGGUAGGAAGCCCAAAUUUGAAUUCGAGUUAAAGGUUUUAGGGUUUAUACCUUGGUAUAUGUGCGAUAUACAGAUUUAUUUGAGAGCGGAUAGGUUUCGGCGUGAAUCGGAGAUCAAAUCGGACGAAACGAAAUGCUAGAUUCGAUGCCCCCGACGUGCUGAACGCGCUGGAGCAAUCCGUUCGGCAAUCCAACGGACGGAUCGUCGGGAAUCGUGAAAAGUCUGCGGAGAGGUCAAUUUGGCAAAAUCAAUUAAUCGCGGAAAGN